rnacentral:misc_RNA from 1 species
UAUGAAAACAACACACUUGCAAUGCUUUUUACUUGAAUUCAAAAAGAACCAUCACUGAAGACAUUAGUGUAAUAAACUGAGUAAUGGAAGAUCCAUGGUCACCCUCGAGAGUAGCACCCAUUGAUAUACAACAAUCCAAAAAAGAACCAACAGUAAAAUUCAAAGGGAUAGCUAUGGUUAAUCAUUUACAAUAAAUCUGGACUCAUGCUGUCAUCCAAUAAUGGAUGUCAAGAAUAAAGGUCAUACAGAAUGUUCACUCUAAUACUCCACUCAACAUAUAUGUAUAUAUACCUGAAUAACUCCCUGAUUUAGAGAACAAGAACAAAAAUCAUACACUUAUUCAGGAAGAACGGACCUGUAAACUAAACAAAUGCUUGCUCGCUGUAUUUCAGGAAUUAGGAGAAAUAUGUGCAGAGAACACUUCAUGAACCACCCAAUUUGUUGAUAUUACACUCUCGCAAAAAUGUCUGAUCAUAGUCAACAAAUUUUGACCAGUAGUCCCGGAACUUGGGUAUGCUUAUUUCAAGCCAUGGUUUCAAGUUUCCAUUGUAGUGUAUGACUGCUGCUCGUUGGAUGUCCUUCUGGCUAACAUUUGGAUUGUAGCCAAGUCCAAGGACAUGCCAUGAUCGGUCAAGGGCAUAUGUGCGCUUCCAAAAGGUUAUCAAACCAGGUGGUAGGGUCCCCAACUUCCAAAGUUGUCUUUCAUGAUUCCGAUUUUGCCAUGAGUGGUACACCUCUGUGAUGUUUUGCCGCCUCCACUCAUUUAGAUCAAUGAUGUUCAUUCCAAAUGCCCAACCACAAGCACGAGGAUCAAAAUUUUCAGAGAUCAGAGGAUUUGAGAAGUUGAGGUAGCGGUCAAACCGAUGAAAGCUUUCUCCACAGGUCUCAACCACACCAAUUACCUUACCCUUAAGAUCAAGUGACCAAAGGCCGCCAAGAUCCUUUUGCACAACAAUAUCAUCAUCCAAGAAGAGAACCUUAUCCAGCUUUGGGAAGAUCUCCGGCAAGUAAAAGCGUAAGUGAUUCAUGAUUGAAAGGUAUUUUGGAUUCCUAAACUUCACAUUUGGAUCAGAAUCAGCACGAGAUCUGAAGUAAUAAUCUAUCAUAGACUGAGAAUUCAAUUGCUUCAGAACUGGACUAUAACUUGAAUUUAGCCAGGUGAAUUCCUCAACACUUUGAACAUCUACUGUAGCAUACUUUGGUUGAUUAGCCAAAAACCACAUUCUCAUUGCAGCAAAAUUAAGCCUGUCAGUCACUAUAUGGAAAACGUGCUUUGAUGGAUCCUUUGCAUGGGAAACAGUUGAGUUUACGACGACAGCAGCGGCUAAUAUGUUGUCUGAGAAGAGUGCAUAGUGGUAUAGCUUGGGAUUUUCUAAAUUCUCUUGAUGCGGAAAAUGCUGUUGGGAAGAAUUUAACUUGAAAUACUCUGUUGAAAGGCGUAAAGGAAGACAAUGAAGACCCUUUGGAAGUGUCUUAGCAGUUAAGUGUGUUAAAUACAAUGUUUGCUUCUUGUGGACACGGAGCUGCUCUUCUGCUGAGUGAAGCAUGGCACGAAGCUUCUUUACAAUAGUAGCACAAUCAUCUUGAAUCUGCUUCCCUUUGGCCAAUGUUUGCUCCAUUGCCUUCAACUUCUCAUUGGCACUUCUAGACAGAUCAGAAUCCUUAGUGGCCUCACCAAGUGCUCGCAGCGAUUCCUUUAUCCGCAAGCGAAGUUCUCUAAUGAAGUGGGGAUUGCUUCGUGUUGCCGAGAGUGAAAGGUAGACCUUCGCCCUAAUGAGCUGAUCCUUGAGCUGGCGAACACGGGCAUCAGGGGGGACAAUUUGCGCAUUCCGCUCUUCAUCUUUGCCCCUUGCUGUCUCUCCAGAUACAACUUUACCACUGGUUUGAACAGUGUGUUGAUCAUGUCUUGUUUCAGUUUUAGUGGAAUCCAAGGUCUGGUUAGGAUCUGUUGAACUCGUCUUUUUUUUUGAGUUGGUUUCCAUUGCUAUGCUUUCGUCUUUCCCCGCUGACACAAGUUUCGGUGAAGUUUUGUCUGUUUGUUGUGGUUCAUGCAAGUUAUCGGUAACCUGACUUAUGUGAUUUCCAUUCAUAGCCACUUCUACUCCAUCAUUGCUGCUUCCAGUGGCAGUUUGAUGCUUCAAUGAUUCUUCAGUUAGUUGUCUUGUUUUCCGAGCAUCCUCGCUGCCUAAAGUGUCUGAGGCAUUAGAAAUGGUUUGGCUUGAAUUUUCUGAAUAUACAUCGCCCCGUGGUUCUUUGAGAGAUGUGGAUGACUCCUGAGGGAGCACAUUUAGAGGUCGGACGUCACCACCAAAAGUAAAGGUGGACAGAUCUUCAAUGAACUCAGUCCUUGAUGAAGAAGGAGAAGUAAAAUAAGUCCCAAGAGUGUCAGUGUAAAGGACUAUAGGGGCAAAAACAGUCACUAGCAACAAGAACAAAACCGGCUUCCUCAGUUUCAUCUUCAUCACUAAACCCCCUUUAAUUCCUUCCUUAUCUCAGCUUAUUAACAGCAAAACCUCAGAUCACCAUGAACUCAGCCUCAAAAAGGAAGAACAUUCGGUAGCUUCCUUAUCUCAGCUUAUUAGAAGCAAAACUCAGAUCUCCAGAAUAACGACUAUCAAACUUCCUUCUUCUCAGCUUAUUAGCAGCAAAACUCAGAUCUCCAUAAAAUCAGCCUUGAAAAAAGGAAGAAUUUGGCUAUGGUGAAUGCAAAAGAAAGAGAGAUACAAGGAAGAGAAAGAUAAGGGUGUCGGUAAGAGCAAAU